AACGUAGGAGACGAACGUUAUCCGGAGUUACUGGGCGUAAAGGGCGUGUAGGCGGUAUGUUAAGUCUGGCGUGAAAGCUCUCGGCUAAACCGGGAGAGGUCGUUGGAUACUGACACACCAGAGGAUGGUAGAGGCGUGUGGAAUUCCGGGUGUAGUGGUGAAAUGCGCAGAUAUCAGGAGGAACACCGGUGGCGAAGGCGGGUCUCUGGGCCGAUACUGACGCUGAGGAGCGAAAGCGUGGGGAGCGAACAGG
rnacentral:rRNA from 1 species